rnacentral:rRNA from 1 species
UACAGAGGUCUCAAGCGUUGUUCGGAUUCAUUGGGCGUAAAGGGUGCGUAGGCGGCGCGGUAAGUCGGGUGUGAAAUCUCGGAGCUUAACUCCGAAACUGCAUUCGAUACUGCCGUGCUUGAGGACUGGAGAGGAGACUGGAAUUUACGGUGUAGCGGUGAAAUGCGUAGAUAUCUGGAGGAAUACCGGAGGCGAAGGCGGGUAACUGGCCGGACACUGACACUCAGACCCGAAAGCGUGGGGAUCAAACAGG